GUGAAGGUCAUCACUUUUAUCAAUAAGAAGACUAAAGUUCUCUCACUUGUAUCCUCCCUGAUUUUUCUUCCUCUUCUUCGUUGGGUAAAAACCGUAGCAGAGAAUUUCGAGCGAGUGGGAAUUUGAAUCCAGUUGGGCAAUCUGUGAUUAAUGACCACAACUUUGGGAUUGUCAUCAUCGACAUCUUCAAGUGCUCAAUUGCGUCACAGUGUUAUUCAUCCUGCUUCAAAUUUCUCUAAAGAAUUACUUCGAAACGGUGUGUUGCAGUAUUACUAGUCCUUGGUUCAUGUACAAUCCAAAAACGGUGAGAGGGUUAAUAUUCAUACUUCAAAACACAUAGAUUUUCUCAGUUCUCACUAUUUAACUCCUAGGAUUGAAACUCUCCAUAAUCCACUCUUGGAGUUUUAAAGCAAAAGAAAAUCCUCACUUGUUCUUACAAAAGUUGGUGCUUUGAUUCUCAAUGGAUUGUGUUACAUUUUGUUUGAAGGUACGAGCAGACUGAAUAUGUUGAUAGGGAAAUGGAGCAAAUGACAGAACAUACAAUAUCAAUUAUUCAUACCUUGAAUGCUAGUCAGGGAGGGGACCUCGAUGCAGCCGAUGGGUUGAAUCUGUUAGAUGUUGUUGUACGCAUUCUAAGCAAUCAGCUCAGUUCACUAAUGUGGAUUGAUGAAAAGGACGAAGGGACUGGCUUCCAAUGCGAUGUCGAUCCGUUAAGAGGUGAUGGGACUGGCUUCGAAUGCACUAAUGGAGUUACUAAAAUUCCAGUUGCACUAGCAUCCGAAGGCAAAAUACUUGUAUGGGUGAAAGAAAAUUUUCUUUUGCUAAUAUCAGAAAAGUUUUCUUUUGCUAAUAUCGUCACUGUCCACGGUCAUCACAACAACAUUCCCAGUUUAUUUUAUAUACCCAAAAUUCAUUUUACUUGACCGUGAAAAAUAAUAUAUGUUUCUUCAUUGCUAA